UGUAUCCUACGGGGCGCAGCAGUGGGGAAUAUUGCACAAUGGGGGGAACCCUGAUGCAGCGACGCCGCGUGAGUGAAGAAGUAUUUCGGUAUGUAAGGCUCUGUCAGCAGGGAAGAAGAAAGACGGUACCUGACCAAGAAGCCCCGGCUAACUACAUGCCAGCAGCCGCGGUAAUACGUAGGGGGCAAGCGUUAUCCGGAUUUACUGGGUGUAAAGGGAGCGUAGACGGCAGGGCAAGUCUGGAGUGAAAGUCAGGGGCCCAACCCCUGGACUGCUCUGGAAACUGUCCGGCUG
rnacentral:rRNA from 1 species